rnacentral:lncRNA from 10 species
UUGGCCAGGCUGGUCUCGAACUUCUGACCUUGUGAUCCCACCUGCCUCGGCCUCCCAAAGUGCUGGGAUUACAGGCGUAAGCCACCGCGCCCGGCCGCCAGGCUAAUUUUUUUAUAUUUUGUAGGGAUAAGGUCUCACUGAGACCAGCCCAGGCUGAUCUCGAACUCCUGGCCUCAAGUGAUCCUCUCUUCUCUCCUUGGCUUCCCAAAGCGCUGGGACUACAGGCCUAAGCCACUGCUCCGGCUACUAGACUGCUUUUGAACAUAUGUUCUGUGCUACCCUUUGCUUAUUUGCGGAACUGUGAGGCUAGUUCGGUACUUCUGCAUUUCAGAAUGGGAAGAGGUGAUCAUAAAUGGGUUUUCCCCUUCCUGCCCUCCUUCUUUGAAGCCAAGUACAACCAAAAUGUGCUCUAAGUUUGUCAAACCUGAUGUUUUUCUGACAAUUCAUCUUCCACGAAUAGUGAGCUGCCUGUCAGUUUGCGCAGGGAGAUGUUAUGGCUUAAAAACAAAAACGAGGCUGGGCGCAGUGGCUCACGUUUGUAAUCCCAGCUGUUUGGGAGGUAUUGAUGGGUGAGGCCAUUCUUCACAUUACCAUAGUUGUGUUACUUGGCAAAGACCUGUCCGCUGCUUCCACCUUCAGCUCCAGUCCCUGAUACACACUUUAAUGACAUAUGCCAAACAGCUCAAAUUGGGGGCGGGGGGUGGGGCGGGGGAACAGGAGUAAACUACUGGUCUGGUUAAAAGCUGGUUAUUUAUCAGGAGACCUGACCUAUGUUUCCCUUCAUCUUCGUCUUCUGAUUGCCAGACAACUGGUGGGACUUCUUUUGGUUGGAUAAACUACUUUGUCUAUAGUAAUUCAAAUUCUGGCAUACAAAGAAACCAUAUUUAUGAGUGUCGAUUCUCACAAAAUAGGCCUCUGCUUCUGAGUAGUCUAUUCCACUCUAUGUGCUAAAUUGGCCUCAAUCAGGAGCAUAGGAAUUCGUGCAAAUAUCAGACCAUAUGAAAUCAUAGCCCUCCGGCCAGGAGCCUAGGCCAUAGCAGCUUGUUGCUCUGCUGACCCUGGUGUCUGAUCCCAGCCAGUGGCCUUAAAAAAACAAGAAACGAAAUAAAUCAUGUAUUUUCGAUACAUAAUUCAUGCCUGCAAUUUAUGCUGUAUUUUCUUUUUUUUUUUUUUUUUUUUGAGACAGAGUCUUGCUCUGUUGCCCAGGUUGGAGUGUUGUGGCGUGAUCUUGGCUCACUGCAACCUCCGUCUCCCUGGUUCAAGCAAUUCUGCCUCAGCCUCCAAAUUAGCUGGGAUUACAGGUGCCCGCCAUGACGCUCAGCUAAUUUUUUUGUAUUUUUAGUAGAGACAGGGUUCCACCAUGUCAGUCAAGCUGAUCUGGAACACCGGACCUCAGGUGAUCCACCCUCCUCGGCCUCCCAAAGUGCUGGGAUUACAGGCAUGAGCCACCGUGCCUGGCCUUAUUUUCUUUUCUAAAACUAUAUAUAAUCAGUUUCUGUGAAAAGAAUAAAUAGUUUGCGUUCAUGGGAAAAAAUAAACUUUCUUGAGCAUUAUUCUUUAUCAUUUUGAAGGAUAUUUUUCACUUCCGAUUCAUGAAUACCAGUAGUCUCAAUUUGUAGUGUAAUUGAUUAAAUCUUCCUCUGAACUAUUAUAUCAUAUUUGUUUUU